rnacentral:misc_RNA from 1 species
AAGUCGUAACAAGGUUUCCGUAGGUGAACCUGCGGAAGGAUCAUUUCCAAAAAAAAACAAUUAAAAUACAACGUUUCGUCUUUUUUGUCUUUGCCUGUAACAAGGUGAUCAUGAAAAAGCGAGAUUAUGUGAACUGUUGAUAUUCUUUUUAUAAUGUACUCUUGAAGGGGUGACUUGGAGAGAGUACAUUUUUAAACAUAACCAAUUGAAACUCCAACAAGAUGUGUUUAAUAGCAAUCUCUGGAUUGAUAUUUUAUAUGUCGAAGUUGAACACUUUUUAUUUUUACAAACUUGUUUUGGUAUGCAAAUAUUAAAACAAUCAAAAAAUAUUAUGACAACUUUUAACGGUGGAUCUCUUGGCUCGU